AUUAUCUUAACUUGGAUGGUACUUUUUUAGAAAGUUCAUUCACAUAUGUAAAUUGGGAUUUUUUUACAUUUCCAGUUAUGAGUUGGUCCCUGAUUGUCUUACUGGAGAACACAAGCUUUUAAAUCAGAACUGAGGGUGAACUUCAGCUCCAAUACUUACCACUUGGGGAAAAUGUGUAUACUUAACCCCAGUCUGUUUCUUCUUGGUGGGGGAAACAGACUUUUCAUGAUUGUUCUAAGGACUAACUAAAAGAUACAUAGAAGUUCUAAGGACUAAAAGGCUCACUAUAUUAUUUCUCCCACAGGCUCUUUCUACUUAUCAGGCUCACGAAUACAGUGACAGUGCUAGCUCCAUUUUCUACACAGUAGCAGUCCAGUCCUGUUUAAUGCACAUGGCUUUGUUAAACUUUUCUUAGAUAAAAAUGAGGUUAUGUAGCAGUUUUUUGAUUACACUAAUACUUGAAGUCAUUGACCUUUUUCUACUCUGCAGCCCUCAUGAAUGUACACAGAACUUUCCAGAAGCUACCCAAUAUAUGUGAUCUUAAUUGAUGAAGUGUAAAUGAGAAUCCCACUGUCUGCCAGUAAGCCAGAUACUAAAGCAAUAUGUGAAGUGUAAAAUUUUG
rnacentral:lncRNA from 1 species